CAGAUUCCUAUUUUUCCCAAGUUGGUUCGAGGGUUCCCCCCUCUAUCCCCAGAAAUCUCUUUUCUCCCUAGUUGGCGUCCUCAUUCUUCGCCUUUUCUUGGAUCUUUUCGGUGCGGUUCCUCCUCGUCAAGGAUUCUUCUUCGUCGAGGAUAUCGGGUUCAAGUAUGGACUCAAUGUGGACCCUUUGAAACUCCAAAUUCUCCCGGAUUCAGCUGAUCUUCUAAUGGUUGGGAAGCCCCUAUAUAGACUUGUCUCUGAUUUAAUCCACAUUUGUGACUAGCAUCAGGUUUUCCACACAAUCCUUGGAGGUUUCUUGUAGGCAUUGUCAUGGUUAGUCAUAGCAAUAUAUCCGUCAAGCAUGUUGAUUUUCACAAAAUCUGUAUACAUCUUCCAUCAACCAAGAACUAUUAGUCAUAUUCUUCAGGACUACUACUCAGCUUCCAAUUCUUGAUAGCCAUUUCUAUUUUUGUUAAAGAUGUCUUGGUCUCCCAAAGAAUACAUCUGCAGGGAUAAGAAAACUAUUCUCACAGCUAUUGGUUGCUUUAAGAAUAGCAUAAGAGUUAUAUUAGUAUAGUUUUAGAAAAUACACCAUUGUUUGUUGGAUCCUUCACUUGUAAUGAACUUAUAUGAAUUGAAAAUUCAAUGAA